CACCCCUCGAGCUCAGCUCGGUAUUGAGGGAAUCGCUCCGUGGGGCGCCCUCGAAAUUUAGCGGUGACUCAGCAAGUCUUCGAGCGAAUAAAACUUUUACGUUCCGCUGAAGAAGAUCCAGCUAGGCCUGCCGGACAAACUACAUAUCUAC
rnacentral:misc_RNA from 1 species